rnacentral:misc_RNA from 1 species
UCAAAUCAAAGAAUGAGUUUCAAAAAAAGGUGUACAGGUUCCCGAAUGGAAAGAAACCUAACUGGAAGAAGUUGAAGAUUUUGGGCCAACAAGCCAAAAUUUAUUUUCUAAAUUUUGUAUUUAGUUAUGUUGGGCCUAAGUACUUUUUGAUAUUAUCAUUAUUGUAUUGUUAGAAUUUUAGGACAUGUAGAAACGGGCCAAAGUCCCAAAAUGAAAUUGGUCCAAAUACGGUCCAG